rnacentral:rRNA from 1 species
CCUACGGGAGGCAGCAGUGGGGAAUCUUGCGCAAUGGGCGAAAGCCUGACGCAGCGACGCCGCGUGAGUGAUGAAGGCCUUCGGGUUGUAAAGCUCUGGGGGAGAAGGCCCGGUAUCUCCUUAGCAAGCACCGGCUAACUCUGUGCCAGCAGCCGCGGUAAGACAGAGGGUGCAAACGUUGUUCGGAAUUACUGGGCGUAAAGCGCGUGUAGGCGGCAGGGCAUGUCGGAUGUGAAAUCCCGUGGCUCAACCACGGAAGUGCACCCGAAACUGCCCAGCUUGAGCUCGGAGAGGAAGGCGGAAUGCUUGGUGUAGAGGUGAAAUUCGUAGAUAUCAGCGGAACACCGGUGGCGAAGGCGGCCUUCUGGACGAUACUGACGCUGAGACGCGAAAGCGUGGGGAGCAAACAGGAUUAGAUACCCUUGUAGUC